GAUGAACGCUGGCGGCGUGCCUAAUACAUGCAAGUCGAGCGAACAGGUGAGGAGCUUGCUCCUCUGACGUUAGCGGCGGACGGGUGAGUAACACGUGGAUAACCUACCUAUAAGACUGGGAUAACUUCGGGAAACCGGAGCUAAUACCGGAUAAUAUAUUGAACCGCAUGGUUCAAUAGUGAAAGACGGUUUUGCUGUCACUUAUAGAUGGAUCCGCGCCGCAUUAGCUAGUUGGUAAGGUAACGGCCUACCAAGGCAACGAUGCGUAGCCGAACUGAGAGGGUGGUCGGCCACACUGGAACUGGGACACGGUCCAGACUCCUACGGGAGGCAGCAGUAGGGAAUCGUCCGCAAUGGGCGAAAGCCUGACGGAGCAACGCCGCGUGAGUGAUGAAGGUCUUCGGAUCGUAAAACUCUGUUAUUAGGGAAGAACAAAUGUGUAAGUAACUAUGCCCGUCUUGACGGUACCUAAUCAGAAAGCCACGGCUAGCUACGUG
rnacentral:rRNA from 1 species